UCCAAAUUAUAAACUAAGGGAAAAUUGUGCCGGAAAGAUCAAAAGGGUGACGCAAUUUUUGAACUACAUGGCGAAGGAUGAGACCUACCAAUCCAAUCUCAUUUUCCUGAUUAACCAUGACAAAAUAAGGGGGUGAAAGACAGCAAGGAAGCCAAGGUGGUUUCCAGAAAGACCCUGCUGGAGUGCCAGUCUCUUGCCAAGGCCAAGAUCCCAGAAGUGCUGAAAACCUUGGAAGAAACAAGGACACAGAAAAAUCAGUACCAGUUUUAUGGAGACCUGUGGGCCUACUUUACCUCCAUAGACGGCCAUAGACCGGGCCUGGAUAAGAACAUGUUGGUGGAGGAGGUGGAGGAGGCUAAAUGUGACCAGUCUGGGAUGUAUCUGAUCAGUGUGGAGGAACACAAAACGAAUAGAGACCAUGGCAUGGUCCAGAUGUCGCUGACAAAGG